rnacentral:rRNA from 1 species
AGAGCGAACGCUGGCGGCAGGCCUAACACAUGCAAGUCGAGCGCCCCGCAAGGGGAGCGGCAGACGGGAGAGUAACACGUGGGAACGUACCCUUUGGUUCGGAACAACACAGGGAAACUUGUGCUAAUACCGGAUAAGCCCUUACGGGGAAAGAUUUAUCGCCAAAGGAUCGGCCCGCGUCUGAUUAGCUUGUUGGUGAGGUAACGGCUCACCAAGGCGACGAUCGGUAGCUGGUCUGAGAGGAUGACCAGCAUCACUGGGACUGAGACACGGCCCAGACUCCUACGGGAGGCAGCAGUGGGGAAUAUUGGACAAUGGGCGCAAGCCUGAUCCAGCCAUGCCGCGUGGAUGAUGAAGGCCUUAGGGUUGUAAAGUCCUUUUAACGGGGAAGAUAAUGACGGUACCGUAGAAUAAGCCCCGGCUAACUUCGUGCCAGCAGCCGC